GAGCAGUAGGACCCAGGGGCCUCCAAAGCCACCAAUAGAAGCGCACAUUGAGCCUAUUUGUAUGCAAUGCCGUCUGCUCUGCGCAUUAAUAGUAAUACAGAUAACGGGUUUGAAAGAAUUCUUUACUGAAGAAGGAUUGGAUUUUUCCAGGGUGCUGAUACUAGGAAGAAAUUCGACUUCACUCGCUCUCUCCGUUUCCUCCUCCUACGUUUAAAAGUCUCAGGCUGCUUUUGCUUGGUUUGAACUCGGAAAGGUCUCCGUGCACAGCAAAGUUGGAGGGCUGCGUCUGCACCACCGAGCCGCUCGAUUUCUGAAAACUGUUCUUGGAAGAUAAAGCAUAUCUGUUAUCACUGGCCUGGUGUAAUGCAAGGAAAGAACAAACAUGAAAUGGAAACAUUUUCCUUUUUGGGUCAUAAUAUCACUCCUCAGCUUGUCAGGAAAUCAUCUGUUCCUAGCACAGCUUAUUCCAGGUCAACAAGCCUUGAGUAUGAAAUUGUCUGAAAUGAUUUACUGCUUAUACGCCCCACCCAUCCAUCCACCUGACCA
rnacentral:lncRNA from 1 species